rnacentral:rRNA from 1 species
UACAGAGGUCUCAAGCGUUGUUCGGAUUCAUUGGGCGUAAAGGGUGCGUAGGCGGCGCGGUAAGUCGGGUGUGAAAUCUUGGAGCUUAACUCCGAAACUGCAUUCGAUACUGCCGUGCUUGAGGACUGGAGGGGAGACUGGAAUUUACGGUGUAGCGGUGAAAUUCGUAGAUAUUCGCAAGAACACCAGUGGCGAAGGCGGCUCACUGGCCCGGUACUGACGCUGAGGCACGAAAGCGUGGGGAGCAAACAGG